UUUCUUGUUUGAGUAUAAUGUGUAGAAUUAACCUAUGAAUAGAACUCUUGUUGGGCAGUCUUGCAAUUGGUAUAGGUUGUCUUGUUAUGUCCCCUGUUUUAGUUGACUCUGUUCAUGGACCAUUACAUUCUCUUGUAGGAGUUUUCAAUUUUUCUUUUGAUGAUAUGAUAAGAAGCACAUUUAAAUCACCCAUAAUCCCCCCAUUUUCUCUUCUAAAUUCAUUUGGAAUUUACAUUUUGUGUGAUUGGACUGGUUCUUUUUACAACCGUCUUGCUCUUUUAGGUUAAUGUUUUGUUUUU
rnacentral:lncRNA from 1 species